AGCGCUCCUCGGGUCCUGUGGCUCACGCUUUGGUACUAGAGGCCGGACUGUUCUGGCGACCGCGACCUCUGCGGCAACGGCUGAAGUUCUCGGAGGAGUAUCGGAGUACGGUCUGGAGGAGAGGCUUCUGGUCUGCCCAGGCAGCUGGAAGGUGAACGCGAGAGAGGAAGAAUACACUGUACAGGGAACUUUGCAAGUGGUUUAACUUGACACUGUGACUGGCAUAGCUUAUGUGCUCAGUUUUUCUCUACAGCCUCUGAGUAUUUCCUUUUGUUCUACUGACUUUUCAUUGGUUCUACUGACUUUCAUUUCAACUAUUAUUAUUGUUGUUGUUGUUGUUAGCUUUUUGACUUAGGAAGAUUGCAGUCUUUUUUCCCCCUUCAUCAGGAAUGUUCUGCUGUGUGUGUUUAAAGAAAAUAAGCUGACCAAGAAAAUCCGGGUGUUUAAGAAUGCCCUUCUCACCCUGCUGUAUACUUACCAAGGGCAGAGAACACCUGGAAAACUACUUAUUCAGUCUCUUAAGCUGGAAGAGAAGAGGGAUGAGUAGAAGAAGCAGGGAUUGCAAAGCAGAGCACCCAACGCCCCAACCCCUGGGGCUUUCCCACGAUGAACUGGGAUUACCAGUGUCCUGCAGAGCCCACGUCCCUACCUGAGCCCCAUUCAAGAAAACACAGGCUUAAAGUACUAAUCCCCAUUACUUUCGAUGGUAGAUGAACUUCAGAUGGUCGAUAAGAGUUGUAACUCAAGGAGAGGACUGGGGUGGUGAUUGUCCCUCGAGUCCUUCAGUUCAUCCAGUUACCGCUGGCCUGCUCUUAAACCUGUGGGUACAGCUACCAUCGGACUCGUCGUUUACCAGGCAAAAGAGCACCAGGGUGGAUUUGCCACUUAGUCCCUCAUGGUGUCUAGUCCCUUGUUUCUUUUCUACCCCAACUCUACUGUUUUUUUAAAAAAGAUAUCGUUAGCAAAAGUGUACAAGAGGCAUGCUGUGCUGGCCAUCAGCUUCAUUCUGGAGAAGUCAUCCUGAAUCCUUUUAGUUAUGGCUUAAGUUUAUUUUGACAGUUUUUCAUUAGCCCCAUGAAAACUUGGUCCACCUGGUAUCUUCUUUUCCUUAAACUGGUUUGUGCACUUUUACAAGUCAUUGUAUUUUUCAGGACGGUAGCAUGAAGCUGAACUCACAAUUUGGAUGUUUCUCCCCACUUUACAGAAUUAGGCAAAAGAACUCCAAAAAAGCCUAGGCGAGUGAGUUCUGCUUUUGACCCUGUGACUGUGUGACCCACUGGGACAGUUUUGGCAGUUAUAAAAUUUUGCUGUUCCCACACACCCAUUUUUCUAGGUUGGACCUUCUGGGUACAUUCCUUUUGUCUUUACUGCCUACAGGUCACAGGAAGUUUUUUAGCUGUUGUCGAUCCUCAUAAGGACCUAAACCGGGCGCCAGCAGCUGCCUUUGAGUGAUAGAGAUGUCGGUGGCAGAGUCAGGUUUAAAAGAGAGUGUGUCCAGUCCUGGCCAUCCCCACAGAACAGGCAAGGACUUGCAGGGACCUGAGGGGGACAGUGGCUCCUGUAUGACUGCCACUGUCCUGUGGGAUAGGCCUAUAUCAGGAGGAGAUCAUGUAACUUGAAAUAAAGUCUGUGUAAAUUCAGUAUGUGGAUGUGGGACAGAGGUUGAAAGAAAAGAAUGAGGAUUUGGAAGGUUUAAGAGUUUCUCCUUUUUUCUCAUGAGCUCCCUUGUUGACGUUUUGGACAGCCACAGGUUAAUGUCAGGUUGAAAAUACAAAUCCACAUCUUUUCCUCAUUGGAGUCCUUAGGAUGACAUCAUUUUUAAAAAAUGCCCUUCCUUGCUGGGUCACGUGUCAUAGGAGGGUAGCUUAGGGAGCUUAUAUUGCCACUUGUGCUCCUGAAUUCCCAAAGCCUCUACCUGGAGAGAAUGAAACUCUUGUUUUCAGGGUGGACUGUAAAUAAAGAAACAGCUUAAUUCUGGCUUCAGCUUUCACCCGGAAUUGUUGCCUCUAAUAAGGAGAGGGCCCUGGAAGUGCAGAAAUAGAGGUCCUCUUCCAGGACUGCUUUUCCUCCUUUCCAUCUCCAUUAUCUUGCCCAAGCUCAGAAUUCUAAAGACUUCUAUAAAUGUGUUGGGAUUGCAGAAGAGCCUUUUUCUAGACCAUGUUGUCUCCAUCACAAAGAGCAUCAUGGAUUCUUGUGUGGCUCCUGGACUGGGAAGUCCUACAGGGAUCCAGAUGGAGCCGUCUCUUUAUCCUGAGGAAGGCUUGCUCUUCGGACACCAGGAUAGGCUAAGGUGUGAGGUAUCGUCCUCAGGGCUUGUUUUUCCAUCUGCUGUGGGGUUCCAUCUUGAAUUUCAGUCGUUGAGCAAUGGAACUGAGCAAUGGAAGCUGAGGGCUGGCCUUUCCAGUCCUGUUCAGACUCAGUGUGCUGACUGUAGGAUCAGGAAGCAGUGUGACCCCUUUUUAAUGUGCAGGUUUGUGCUUUCAGCUGUUCCUCUUGUAGCCUGACUCUUUUCUCCAUCUAUUUUAUAUGGUAGGGUGGGAGCAGAAUUGUCACCCAGGACACAGGCUCAGCUCUAGUCAGUUUAUCAGCUCCCUAGCAGAAAAUGCAUGGAGAUCUUACUGGAUCUUCCUGGGGGAAAGGCUGGGAACCUCUGUCUCAGACUUUUCCUCAGAAGAGAGGUUCUGGGUACAAGCCACGCUAGGCAUCUUCACCCUUUAAGGGUGAGGCUGGUAUUAUAAGUGAUCAUUUUAAUGUUGAAUUUAAACCACUACUCUGUUUAAGCUAAUUUUUUUUUUUUUUUUUUUAGCUGGCAACUGGAAUUUUGAAACAAUAUUGCUGGAGUUCCCAUUGUGGUACAGUGGAAAUGAAUCCGACUAGUAUCCAAGUGGGGUCAAUCCCUGGCCUCGCUCAGUGGGUUAAGGAUCCAGUGUUGUCGUGAGUGGUAGUGUAGGUUGCAGACGAGGCUUGGAUCCCACGUUGCUGUGGCUAUGGCAUAGGCCAGCAGCUGCAGCUCCGAUUUGACCCCUGGCCUGGGAACUUCUAUAUGCCGUAGGUGAGGCCCUUAAAAAAAAAAAGAGAAUAUUGCCAGUUGCCAAUUCUGGCUGGUCCAAGUGUCAACUUUGUUAGUGAUUGAUUUCUGACUUUUGUGAUUACUGGACUCUAAAACUCCAAAAUGAAAAUCAUUUUUAUCUCUUGCUCUUCAAGGGGGAGGAAAAAAAGAAAUACGUUUUCAGUUUCUCCAGCCCUUUGAACUGUAGCAGAACACUUGAUGGAUACAGCCUAGGCACCUGCAGCUCUGGGUCUUUGGACAAGUUUUCCACCACAGCAUUUGAUUUUGGGGAUCCUAUAAGGUCAGACCCAAAAAGAUGGUAAGAAAAAGGCUCGACUUUUGCAACACCUUUAGUUUCCCAAAUCAAAACAGCCAGGAUCUCUUUAAUUACAGUUACAGUACUAAAUGUCUUUAGUGAAAUAAUCAGCAUUUUUCAAAUUGUGUAUUGCCGUAAUGUCAAAGUUCUGUCUUGAUUUUGGAGAGGCUGGGAAGUAAGGUCAGUCAAACACUCUGACCUCAGAGUGGAAUUUAGUACAUGUCAAGAGAGGGAAGUUGUGUGAAGAGGCAGCCAAAGCAAACAGCUUGACUGCGUCUUGGAUCUUCUUGCAUUAGUGCUGCUGCAGAGCCCAUUUACACACAUCAAGAGCCGAGGAAUCUGCACUGCUGGGAUUGGAGGGGACAGGUGUUCUUGGAUAAGGGUCCCGGCGUCACAAGUUAAUAACGUUGCUUGGUUUAGGAUAUGCUGAGUUCUGAGAUUAGGCAGAGACCUGACAGAUCUGAGCAGGAUUUGGAGACAUGCACCUUUUGGGAAAGGCUCUAUCCCCAGCCACCCUCCCCUGGUCUAAUCGCAGCCCUCAGUAGUUUGGGAAGCGGGUAAAGAGAACAGGGUUGACAAGGAUCUGGUGAACCUUGGGAACCUUGAUCUCCUCCUGCCUCUGCCUCCAGCACCCCCAUGUGAAUCAUUUCCCCUCUCAUUGCACACAGAGAUCAUUAAUUCUGGCACGUGGGUAGUCAGUAGCAGAGUACUUUCUGUAGCCACUGCUCUACUGCUUUGUGAAUUUCACCCACAGACGUGGUUAGUCACAAUCUUGAAGGCUUUUUCUUUUCUUUUUUUUUUUUUUUUUUGCCUUUGUUUUUAAUCUUCUGUCUUUAUUUCUUCCAUCUUGAAGGUGCACUUAGUGACAAAGGACAGGGGACAGGAGGCUGACCAAGGAAACACUCAAGUUUUCUGCUUGCUGUUUGGCCUCUGCCCUCACUGCCCAACCCCCUACUGUUGUCCCCAGUCUGGAUUUGCAGGGAGAGGAGGGUCAUACAAUAGGUCAGUGAUCUCAAUAGCGUGUUAGCCAAGAGAUUCACCACCCUACCCUUGGGGGACAGAAGAGAAAUCUACAAAGGGACAGACAUGCCAUCUUUAUUCUAAAAGAAAAAGCUCCCUUUAGAAUUUCUAUUGUGGUGCAGUGGUAACGAACCCCACUAGUAUUCAUGAGGACUGGGGUUCAAUCCCUGGUCUCGCUUAGUGGGUUAAGGAUUCUGCACUGCCGUGAGCUAUGGUGUAGGUCGCAGAUGCAACUUGGAUCUGGCAUUGCUGUGGCUCUGGUGUAGGCCAGUUCGACCCCUAGCCUGGGAACCUCCAUGUGCCGCACAUGCAGCC
rnacentral:lncRNA from 9 species